rnacentral:rRNA from 1 species
CCUACGGGAGGCAGCAGUAGGGAAUCUUCCACAAUGGGCGAAAGCCUGAUGGAGCAACGCCGCGUGGGUGAAGAAGGUCUUCGGAUCGUAAAACCCUGUUGUUAGAGAAGAAAGUGCGUGAGAGUAACUGUUCACGUUUCGACGGUAUCUAACCAGAAAGCCCCGGCUAACUACGUGCCAGCAGCCGCGGUAAUACGUAGGUGGCAAGCGUUAUCCGGAUUUAUUUGGCGUAAAGGGAACGCAGGCGGUCUUUUAAGUCUGAUGUGAAAGCAUUCGGCUUAACCGGAGUAGUUCAUUUGAAACUGGGAGACUUGAGUGCAGAAGAGGAGAGCGGAACUACAGGUGUAGCGGUGAAAUGCGUAGAUAUAUGGAAGAACACCAGUGGCGAAAGCGGCUCUCUGGUCUGUAACUGACGCUGAGGUUCGAAAGCGUGGGUAGCAAACAGGAUUAGAUACCCCUGUAGUC